rnacentral:rRNA from 1 species
UACGUAGGGGGCUAGCGUUGUCCGGAUUCAUUGGGCGUAAAGCGCACGCAGGCGGCUUGGUAAGUCAUCGGUGAAAUCCCAAGGCUCAACCUUGGAACUGCCUUUGAUACUGGGGAUCUUGAGUCCGGGAGAGGUGAGUGGAACUGCGAGUGUAGAGGUGAAAUUCGUAGAUAUUCGCAAGAACACCAGUGGCGAAGGCGGCUCACUGGCCCGGUACUGACGCUGAGGUGCGAAAGCGUGGGGAGCAAACAGG